AGUGGACGCUGGCGGUAGGCCUAACACAUGCAAGUCGAACGGCAGCACAGUAAGAGCUUGCUCUUACGGGUGGCGAGUGGCGGACGGGUGAGGAAUACAUCGGAAUCUACUUUUUCGUGGGGGAUAACGUAGGGAAACUUACGCUAAUACCGCAUACGACCUACGGGUGAAAGCAGGGGAUCUUCGGACCUUGCGCGAUUGAAUGAGCCGAUGUCGGAUUAGCUAGUUGGCGGGGUAAAGGCCCACCAAGGCGACGAUCCGUAGCUGGUCUGAGAGGAUGAUCAGCCACACUGGAACUGAGACACGGUCCAGACUCCUACGGGAGGCAGCAGUGGGGAAUAUUAGACAAUGGGCGCAAGCCUGAUCCAGCCAUACCGCGUGGGUGAAGAAGGCCUUCGGGUUGUAAAGCCCUUUUGUUGGGAAAGAAAAGCAGCAGGUUAAUACCCCGCUGUUCUGACGGUACCCAAAGAAUAAGCACCGGCUAACUUCGUG
rnacentral:rRNA from 1 species